GCUGACUCCUAGUCCAGGGC
rnacentral:miRNA from 1 species